rnacentral:tmRNA from 1 species
GGGGAUGACCGGUUUUGACAGCGCGUAGAGGUGGUAUGUAAGCACGCAGAGCGAUGAUGGCUGUCUCUAUAAUACACGACAUCAACAAUUUAACUGGCGAAACUAAUUACGCUCUCGCUGCCUAACCGAAGUACAGUAAGUUAGCUUUAUUUCUGCCACAGUGGUAGAAACGAGACAUCACCCGAUUGCCCCUCUCUGAGACGUUUCGAUAAGGUGGUGCAAGGAAAAUCAGAGAUAAGACACGCUGCUCCCGGGUGCGUGGCUGAAAAUUUACGGGAUAAGCCACGGAUUGGUAGUUUUGAGCCUGUCCUUGGCCGACAAUCAAGUCGAAACUAAGCGUGUAGAAAGCAUAUUAGUUCCGCGUUUGGACGAGAGUUCGAAUCUCUCCAUCUCCAC